GAUGAACGCUGGCGGCGUGCCUAAUACAUGCAAGUCGAGCGAACAGACGAGGAGCUUGCUCCUCUGACGUUAGCGGCGGACGGGUGAGUAACACGUGGAUAACCUACCUAUAAGACUGGGAUAACUUCGGGAAAACGGAGCUAAUACCGGAUAAUAUAUUGAACCGCAUGGGUCAAUAGUGAAAGACGGUUUUGCUGUCACUUAUAGAUGGAUCCGCGCCGCAUUAGCUAGUUGGUAAGGUAACGGCUUACCAAGGCAACGAUGCGUAGCCGACCUGAGAGGGUGAUCGGCCACACUGGAACUGAGACACGGUCCAGACUCCUACGGGAGGCAGCAGUAGGGAAUCUUCCGCAAUGGGCGAAAGCCUGACGGAGCAACGCCGCGUGAGUGAUGAAGGUCUUCGGAUCGUAAAACUCUGUUAUUAGGGAAGAACAAAUGUGUAAGUAACUAUGCACGUCUUGACGGUACCUAAUCAGAAAGCCACGGCUAACUACGUG
rnacentral:rRNA from 1 species